CGUGCUUAACACAUGCAAGUCGAACGGACCUUGUUAGACUGAUUUUUCGGAAUGACGUUUUUCAAGGUUAGUGGCGGACGGGUGAGUAACACGUGGGUAAUCUACCAUAAAGACCGGGACAACAGUUGGAAACGACUGCUAAUACCGGAUGUUGUGUUUUUAACUAUGUUGAUUACAUUAAAGGAGGCCUCUAUUUAUAAGCUCCCGCUUUAUGAUGAGCCCGCGUCUGAUUAGCUAGUUGGUGGGGUAACGGCCUACCAAGGCGACGAUCAGUAGCCGGCCUGAGAGGGUGAUCGGCCACAUUGGGACUGAGACACGGCCCAAACUCCUACGGGAGGCAGCAGUGGGGAAUAUUCCGCAAUGGGCGCAAGCCUGACGGAGCAACGCCGCGUGAAUGAAGAAGGUCUUCGGAUUGUAAAGUUCUGUCAUUAGGGACGAAAACCUUGUGCGAAUAGUGCAAGUAUUGACGGUACCUAAGGAGGAAGCUCCGGCUAACUACGUG
rnacentral:rRNA from 1 species